CCUACGUGGGGCAGCAGUGGGGAAUAUUGCGCAAUGGGCGAAAGCCUGACGCAGCGACGCCGCGUGAGGGAUGAAGGUCUUCGGAUCGUAAACCUCUGUCAGCAGGGAAGAACGGUCACUGUGCUAAUCAGCAGUGAAUUGAUGGUACCUGCAAAGGAAGCACCGGCUAACUCCGUGCCAGCAGCCGCGGUAAUACGGAGGGUGCGAGCGUUAAUCGGAAUUACUGGGCGUAAAGGGCUCGUAGGCGGUAUGUCAAGUCAAGGGUGAAAUCCCCGCGCUCAACGUCGGAACUGCAUUUGAAACUGGCAAACUGGAGUGUGUGAGAGGAUAGUGGAAUUCCAGGUGUAGGAGUGAAA
rnacentral:rRNA from 1 species